GAUAGAUACUGACUUCCUUACGUCUACGUUUGACGGUUGCACGUAGCGGUGACAUUGUUUUGCCUGGAGUUUAUUUAUUAUUACGUUAUGUGUAUCCUAACGAUAUUGCUACUCCGAGGCAAAACAACAACAUGAUUUGAAUCGUCCUCUAACUCGUGUGUCGCUACACAGUUGAUUGGAAUUAUUCUUUGUUCCCUAGUAUAUAUCAAUAAUCGGCAAAAACUAAUGGAAGAUCACAGCAUCGAGGGGAAGUUUCAGAUCGUCAUGAUUGCCAAAGGGUUCAAGGGUGGAUUGCCAAAGGUUUACGAAGAAUCACUUAUCGAAUAAGGAUUUCACACGAAAUAGUGAAAAGAAGAAUACAUGAGAAGGGUCUACAUUCUUACAAGGUUUAUCACGUGCAAAAAGUCUGUAAGAUGGAUUAUGUCACUCGACGAAAAUUUUAUCACUUGGUGCUAAGAACGUUAAACGCAAUCCACGCGGUCUUGAAGAUAUCUUGUUUUCGGAUGAGAGAAUUUCUUUCAUCAGCAACAUUCGCAAUCAUCAGAAUACCAAAGUUUAGGAGUAUAGAAAUCCUCACAUUAUGACACAGGGUCUUCUGGACAGGUCUAAUUUAUUCCAUAUAUGACGUUAACAUGUAAACAAAGCCAGUUUAAACAUCAAACUGGUAGAUAUUAUACGUUCACGAGUGAGUAAAUAAUGACACUAUCUUUAUUUUUUGUAUCAUAUCUGGGUUUGAAAUAUGUAUAAAAUCAGUUUAAGGAUUAAUGAAACUUUUUUUUCUAAGAGAACCGGUCAUUUGCAAUCCAUGGCUCCUUUAAAACUGACAACAUGUACUGUACAAUGAUGUAUAUGAGUACUUGUUGAGCACAAUAUGAGUAUUUGAUGACUAUAUGAAGAUGCAAUAAAGAAAAAUUUUGACCUCAGAA
rnacentral:misc_RNA from 1 species